GGUACCGUAGCCAAGUGGUAAGGUCCGAAGCUGCAACCUUCGUAUUCGUCAGUUCGAGUCUGACCGGUACCUCCA
rnacentral:tRNA from 1 species